GAUGAACGCUGGCGGCGUGCCUAAUACAUGCAAGUCGAGCGAACGGACGAGAAGCUUGCUUCUCUGAUGUUAGCGGCGGACGGGUGAGUAACACGUGGAUAACCUACCUAUAAGACUGGGAUAACUUCGGGAAACCGGAGCUAAUACCGGAUGAUAUUUUGAACCGCAUGGUUCAAAAGUGAAAGACGGUCUUGCUGUCACUUAUAGAUGGAUCCGCGCUGCAUUAGCUAGUUGGUAAGGUAACGGCUUACCAAGGAAACGAUGCAUAGCCGACCUGAGAGGGUGAUCGGCCACACUGGAACUGAGACACGGUCCAGACUCCUACGGGGGGCAGCAGUAGGGAAUCUUCCGCAAUGGGCGAAAGCCUGACGGAGCAACGCCGCGUGAGUGAUGAAGGUCUUCGGAUCGUAAAACUCUGUUAUUAGGGAAGAACAUAUGUGUAAGUAACUGUGCACAUCUUGACGGUACCUAAUCAGAAAGCCACGGCUAACUACGUG
rnacentral:rRNA from 1 species